rnacentral:rRNA from 1 species
CCUACGGGAGGCUGCAGUGAGGAAUGUUGGUCAAUGGACGAGAGUCUGAACCAGCCAAGUAGCGUGAAGGAUGACUGCCCGAUGGGUUGUAAACUUCUUUUAUAGGGGAAUAAAACAGGGUAUGCAUACCCUCUGGUAUGUACCAUAUGAAUAAGGAACGGCUAACUCCGUGCCAGCAGCCGCGGUAAUACGGAGGAUCCGAGCGUUAUCCGGAUUUAUUGGGUUUACAGGGAGCGUAGGUGGAUUGUUAAGUCAGUUGUGAAAGUUUGCGGCUCAACCGUAAAAUUGCAGUUGAAACUGGCAGUCUUGAGUACAGUAGAGGUGGGCGGACUUCGUGGUGUAGCGG